AAGACUUUAAGUUAAAGAAACUAAAAACCUUCAAAGUUUUAUAUGUGUAUCACAAGUUUUG
rnacentral:tRNA from 1 species